GUGUGCAGUGCCCUGCCCAUCCAGGUGCAGUUCACGUACAAUUGGUGUACUGUGCCUUGAAUGGGUAGUGAGUGUAAGGCUCA
rnacentral:pre_miRNA from 1 species